GUUCUAGCCCGAGGGGUGGGGAGCUGACAGCUGGUGUCACUGGGUGGCGGGACGCGGUUUGCUCUCGCCCUCUCUCCACGCGAGGUACCCUAUACGUGAGGACGCCAGAAAUGCCAAUGGGUAAAAUCUGACUAACAUGAGGUGGUGACAGAGGACUCGUAAACAUCUUUACAACGAUUGAGAUUAUUCCUAGAACAACGAACACGUAAUUUCUGAGAGGGACUGGGAAACACCACCAUUUUGAAGGACUUACUUGAGAAUGUCGUGAUUGCUUUUUUGAAGGAUGUGGCUUUUUUUUUUUUCUUUAAUGUGAUCAUGACCUCAAAAAGAGGAAUCUUUCUCCAAUGAGUUUCUUUAUAUUCAAAUCACCUUUGGACAAAGGCCAAACAUGGGCAGCAUCAGCCUACUUGGAGAAAAUUUCAAGGCUUUCAUAAGGGACUGGGAAAACGGGAUUAUAAUGAGAGCCAUUCUGCAACCUUAACUACAGCGUUUGCCAUCCCAAACACUAUAAUAAUCAUUAUUAUUCUCUGGUAUCUAUUAUUGUCUGGUAAAUAAUAUGUGUUUUCCCCCCAAGUUCUAAAGGGUGCAGCUGCACCACACUCUAUUUUUUGCAACCCCAUUCCUGCUGCUCUGAAAGCUCCUCACACCGAGCUUAUUUUAAGAGAACGGCAAAGUAGACAAUUUGUGCUCUUUCCUUCCCUCCACCACGUACUUGCCACGUCUGGGACACCCACAAAGGCCAGAUGGUGGCAGUGCAAGUCUCUCUCUGCUGGUGACAUUUGAGGAGGGGGUGGUACCGAGGUCAUCCUCAUCUGUUCCUGUGGCUCCUCUGGUUGGUGCAGGGCAGCCUCCUUCUUGGGGACCCGAGAAUCAAAUGGAAAUAGACAACCAAGCUUUGGGCUUCACCUCCCAGAAGUGACUGGUAUGCAAACUAUGAAACUCAAGAGCGGGGAGGAAGCGAGCUUGCAGUUUUAGAAAGUGAUCAUGAGGAAGCUCCAGAGCCUGGGCUAGUUCCUACCUUUGCCCUUGCCAAGCAGAGGGAUCUUAUGGAAAAUCCAGUUUAAAUUUCUUGAUUUGAGCAAAGGGGAAAUUACUAUGAUAAGUGAGACACAGACACCCAUCCCCGUCCAGGGCGUCCCCUUCCUUGGCCUCCCCAAGCCUUGAUUCCUCUUCUGUGCAAUGGGCGCCUCUGUGAGAUUUUUUUAUUAUAUCCUCUAUCUAUCAAGUUCUGUGACUGUAGGAUCUUCGGAUCAAAGCCAGUGUCAAUUAUAGGGGAUUAUAAACUUGAGCAGUUGACUAUUAAUCUGUUAACAGCACGUAAGGAGAACUAGUAAUUUCUGAACCCCCAAGCCCAAAGUUUCAGAGACUUCUAUUAAUCACACACACACACACACACACACACACACACACACACACACAGCUCUCUGGCAGAGGAUUUUGGAGUGUCCCUUACUGCAGGGAAGUCUAAGGAAGUGGCUGUACUUGUGCCUCACAUAUGGGUUUUCCUGUGAGUCAGGGGUUCAUCUGAAGGCAGGACAACCCAGGGUUGUAUUUUGUAAAUGGUUGUAUUUUGUAUUAGUACCCAGGGUCCUGUUGCAAGGAAUAUCACACGCACACAACCCAUCCCGCAUACCAUGCAUGUACCGGGUUUGAAGGCCGGCUGCAUGAUGUGUGGUCUCCAGCAGGCUUGUAUGGCCAGGUGCCUUCUGGAUUCCAACCACCCC